rnacentral:tRNA from 1 species
GGGGUUCUAGCUCAAUAGGUAGAGCGACCAGUCACCAAGACCGGUAUGGAUUGAGGUUCGAGUCCUCGGGACCCCGCAA